GUUGAGAACUGUUCUGCGCAUGUGUCCUGGGAUUACUAGAUUGCGCCUACUUUGUCAUCCAGUUUUAGCCAUACCCUACCUUCCUACCUCAGUAGGAUAUGAUUUGGUGAUUCUAUAUGCUAACCUGUAGAGGAGAGUCUGUAUUAGGAAAGACGUGGAGAAGAACCAUGCGUUCUCCCUCUGCUAUGCAUUAGAACUCUAGGAAGAAAGUGACAAAUUCAAAGAUGGAGAUAGAAUGAAGCUAAAGAACAAUCACUUGCCUGAGGCCAUUUGAGGAAAAAAACCAAGAAGUGCUCUCUUUAUAGCUGUGGACAGAUGUGAACAGUCCAUUGCCAUGGACUCCUUAGACUAUUUUGGCAUUUGACAGAGCAACAGUUUCACUGUCUGUGUGUGAUUUCAGAGGAAAACAAGACCUAAAAGAAAGGCCUGAGGGGAUGCUCAUUGAUCUGGAAGAGACUGUCUACCCUUCUAAUAAGAAUAAAAAUAAUUUCAUGAAAAAUACAUCAUCAUAACAUUGAUGUAUGGACCCUGUAACAUCCAAUUUCUUAAAGGCAUCUGUAGCUACUAAGGAUGCUGGUCAUGCCCUCAUCAACACACGGACAAUAUAAAUGAGAUGAUGCUUCAUGGAACAUAAUGCACACAGAUGCUUUUCUAAAAUAUACUCACAUCUUCGAAAAUAAAAUGAUUUGGC
rnacentral:lncRNA from 1 species